UACAGAGGUCUCAAGCGUUGUUCGGAUUCAUUGGGCGUAAAGGGUGUGUAGGUGGCGCGCUAAGUCGGGUGUGAAAUUUCGGAGCUUAACUCCGAAACUGCAUUCGAUACUGGCGUGCUUGAGGACUGGAGAGGAGACUGGAAUUUACGGUGUAGCAGUGAAAUGCGUAGAGAUCGUAAGGAAGGCCAGUGGCGAAGGCGAGUUCCUGGACAGUGACUGACGCUGAGGCACGAAGGCCAGGGGAGCAAACGGG
rnacentral:rRNA from 1 species